rnacentral:rRNA from 1 species
UACGUAGGUGGCAAGCGUUGUCCGGAUUUACUGGGCGUAAAGGGAGCGUAGGCGGUUUUUUAAGUGGGAUGUGAAAUCCCCAGGCUUAACCUGGGAACCGCAUUUCAAACUGGAAGACUAGAGUGCAGGAGAGGAAAGUGGAAUUCCAAGUGUAGCGGUGAAAUGCGUAGAGAUUUGGAGGAACACCAGUGGCGAAGGCGACUUUCUGGACUGUAACUGACGCUGAGGCUCGAGAGCGUGGGGAGCAAACAGG